rnacentral:rRNA from 1 species
AACGAACGCUGGCGGCAUGCCUAACACAUGCAAGUCGAACGAGACCUUCGGGUCUAGUGGCGCACGUGUGCGUAACGCGUGGGAACCUGCCCUUAGGUUCGGAAUAACUCCCCGAAAGGGGUGCUAAUACCGGAUAAUGUCUUCGGACCAAAGAUUUAUCGCCUUUGGAUGGGCCCGCGUUGGAUUAGCUAGUUGGUAGGGUAAAAGCCUACCAAGGCGACGAUCCAUAGCUGGUCUGAGAGGAUGAUCAGCCACACUGGGACUGAGACACGGCCCAGACUCCUACGGGAGGCAGCAGUGGGGAAUAUUGGACAAUGGGCGAAAGUCUGAUCCAGCAAUGCCGCGUGAGUGAUGAAGGCCUUAGGGUUGUAAAGCUCUUUUACCCGGGAUGAUAAUGACAGUACCGGGAGAAUAAGCUCCGGCUAACUCCGUG